ACCCCUACGGGGGGCAGCAGUGAGGAAUAUUGCGCAAUGGGCGAAAGCCUGACGCAGCGACGCCGCGUGGAGGAUGAAGGUUUUAGGAUCGUAAACUCCUGUUAAGUGGGAAGAAAGAUUCAUCUCUAAUACAGAUGAAGGAUGACGGUACCGCUAGAGAAAGCACCGGCUAACUUCGUGCCAGCAGCCGCGGUAA
rnacentral:rRNA from 1 species